AGCAGCCGCGGUAAUUCCAGCUCCAAUAGCGUAUAUUAAAGUUGUUGCAGUUAAAAAGCUCGUAGUUGAAUUUCGGGGUUAGUAGGUUGGUCAUGCCUCUGGUAUGUACUGGUCUCACUGAUUCCUCCUUCCUGAUGAGCCGUAAUGCCAUUAAUUUGGUGUUGCGGGGAAUUUGGACUGUUACUUUGAAAAAUUAGAGUGUUUAAAGCAAGCUAACGCUUGAAUACAUUAGCAUGGAAUAAUGAAAUAGGACGUUCGAUCCUAUUUUGUUGGUUUCUAGGAUUGACGUAAUGAUUAAUAGGGAUAGUUGGGGGCAUUAGUAUUCAAUUGUCAGAGGUGAAAUUCUUGGAUUUAUUGAAGACUAACUACUGCGAAAGCAUUUGCCAAGGAUGUUUUCAUUAAUUACAAGAACGAAAGUUAGGGGAUCGAAGACGAUCAGAUACCGUCGUAGUCUUAACCAUAAACUAUAG
rnacentral:rRNA from 1 species